rnacentral:rRNA from 1 species
AUGAAUAUUAUACCUUGUUCCAUUAAAACACUCAAGGGGUUAUACGAUAUAUCGGGUGUAGAAGUAGGCCAACACUUCUAUUGGCAAAUAGGAGGUUUCCAAAUUCAUGCCCAAGUACUCAUCACUUCUUGGGUCGUAAUUACUAUCUUGCUAGGUUCAGUUGUCAUAGCUGUUCGGAAUCCACAAACCAUCCCGACCGACGGUCAGAAUUUUUUUGAAUAUGUCCUUGAGUUUAUUCGAGACUUGAGCAAAACUCAGAUUGGAGAAGAAUAUGGUCCCUGGGUUCCCUUUAUUGGAACUAUGUUCCUUUUUAUUUUUGUUUCGAUUUGGUCGGGUGCUCUUUUACCUUGGAAAAUUAUAGAGUUACCCCAUGGGGAAUUAGCAGCGCCCACGAAUGAUAUAAAUACUACUGUUGCUUUAGCUUUACUCACGUCAGCGGCAUAUUUUUAUGCUGGUCUUAGCAAAAAAGGAUUGAGCUAUUUCGAGAAAUAUAUUAAACCAACUCCAAUCCUUUUACCAAUUAACAUCCUAGAAGAUUUCACAAAACCAUUAUCACUUAGCUUUCGACUUUUCGGGAAUAUAUUGGCGGCGGAUGAAUUAGUCGUUGUUGUUCUUGUUUCUUUAGUCCCCUUAGUAAUCCCUAUACCGGUCAUGUUUCUUGGAUUAUUUACAAGCAUUAUUCAAGCUCUUAUUUUUGCAACAUUAGCCGCAGCCUAUAUAGGUGAAUCCAUGGAGGGUCAUCAUUGA